rnacentral:piRNA from 1 species
ACCACUGAUCUGGCCAAGAAUGAGGCCC